UUGUUUCGGUAGGUGAGGUUACCACAGGGAUACGGGUUGCUGCCGCGAAGUCGUGGAGACACGAUCAGAAGGUCAGCAGGUUUUGUCGAAGCCAAGGCAAAAUCUAACGCAAUUUCAUGCCCUGCGAAACUGAAGCUUGAACGGUA
rnacentral:sRNA from 1 species